rnacentral:rRNA from 1 species
GACGAACGCUGGCGGCGUGCUUAACACAUGCAAGUCGAACGGAAAGGCCCUGCUUUUGUGGGGUGCUCGAGUGGCGAACGGGUGAGUAACACGUGAGUAACCUGCCCUUGACUUUGGGAUAACUUCAGGAAACUGGGGCUAAUACCGGAUAGGAGCUCCUGCUGCAUGGUGGGGGUUGGAAAGUUUCGGCGGUUGGGGAUGGACUCGCGGCUUAUCAGCUUGUUGGUGGGGUAGUGGCUUACCAAGGCUUUGACGGGUAGCCGGCCUGAGAGGGUGACCGGCCACAUUGGGACUGAGAUACGGCCCAGACUCCUACGGGAGGCAGCAGUGGGGAAUAUUGCACAAUGGGCGGAAGCCUGAUGCAGCAACGCCGCGUGCGGGAUGACGGCCUUCGGGUUGUAAACCGCUUUCGCCUGUGACGAAGCGUGAGGGACGGUAAUGGGUAAAGAAGCACCGGCGAACUACGU